rnacentral:rRNA from 1 species
AACGAACGCUGGCGGCAUGCCUAACACAUGCAAGUCGAACGAGACCUUCGGGUCUAGUGGCGCACGGGUGCGUAACGCGUGGGAACCUGCCCUUAGGUUCGGAAUAACUCCCCGAAAGGGGUGCUAAUACCGGAUAAUGUCUUCGGACCAAAGAUUUAUCGCCUUUGGAUGGGCCCGCGUUGGAUUAGCUAGUUGGUAGGGUAAAAGCCUACCAAGGCGACGAUCCAUAGCUGGUCUGAGAGGAUGAUCAGCCACACUGGGACUGAGCCACGGCCCAGACUCCUACGGGAGGCAGCAGUGGGGAAUAUUGGAAAAUGGGCGAAAGCAUGAUCCAGCAAUGCCGCGUGAGUGAUGAAGGCCUUAGGGUUGUAAAGCUCUUUUACCCGGGAUGAUAAUGACAGUACCGGGAGAAUAAGCUCCGGCUAACUCCGUG